rnacentral:rRNA from 1 species
GUACACACCGCCCGUCGCUACUACCGAUUGAACGUUUUAGUGAGGUCUCGGGACCGGCGGCUAGGAGCUGGCAACAGCACCUUGCUGCUGGGAACUUGCUCAAACUUGAGCGUUUAGAGGAAGUAAAAGUCGUAACAAGGUUUCCGUAGGUGAACCUGCAGAAGGAU